rnacentral:piRNA from 1 species
GCAUUAGGACAGAAUGGACAAGGUCAGU